rnacentral:sRNA from 1 species
GCGGGGCAGAACCUAGGUUGCCUUAGAGAGGUUCUCCGGUGUCCCGAGGGCGGCUUAAGUCAGAGUUGUUGGGUUUUGCUCAGAUUGGUGUGGGAAGAGCCUGCCUGUGGGGAGCGGCCACUCCGUACUGCUGAGGCCUCAGGACUGCUGCUCAGCUUGCCCGUUACCUGAAGAGGCGGCGGAGCCGGGCCCCUGACCGGUCACCAUGUGGGCCUUCUCGGAAUUGCCCAUGCCGCUGCUGAUCAAUUUCAUCGUCUCGCUGCUGGGAUUUGUGGCCACAGUCACCCUUAUCCCGGCCUUCCGGGGCCACUUCAUUGCUGCGCGCCUCUGUGGUCAGGACCUCAACAAAACCAGUCGACAGCAGAUGUGAGCAGCGGCACACGGGUCCGGGCAGGGGGCAAGGGCUAAGGAAGGAGUGGCUAGGGCAGGGGCGGGGACCGGGGUGCUUGACCACACGUGAAGACCCAGAACUAACCCAGGCAGCCUGGAACUCGGAGAGGUGAUGAGCAGAACUUACUCGCAUUGGGGAAAGGAUGGGUAGGGACCCUUGGGUAUAUCUGGGACUGUGGCAGUGGUGCUUUCCUCCCUCCGCCCCCCUCACCACUUACCAAAAUAAAAAACCGGGAAUAAGAAGACCACUUUGGGUUAUUGUAACACCUGCACUAGUGAGUGACCACGCCCCUUUCCUCUUCCCCCUCGCCCCCUUGCUGCUGGGCCGCAGCCCAGAAUCCCAGGGAGUGAUCAGCGGUGCUGUUUUCCUUAUCAUCCUCUUCUGCUUCAUCCCUUUCCCCUUCCUGAACUGCUUUGUGAAGGAGCAGUGUAAGGCAUUCCCCCACCAUGAAUUUGUGGCCCUGAUAGGUGCCCUCCUUGCCAUCUGCUGCAUGAUCUUCCUGGGCUUUGCGGAUGAUGUACUGAAUCUGCGCUGGCGCCAUAAGCUGCUGCUACCCACAGCUGCCUCACUACCUCUCCUCAUGGUCUAUUUCACCAACUUUGGCAACACGACCAUUGUGGUGCCCAAGCCCUUCCGCCCGAUACUUGGCCUGCAUCUGGACUUGGG